rnacentral:rRNA from 1 species
GAUGAACGCUGGCGGCGUGCCUAAUACAUGCAAGUCGAGCGAACGGACGAGAAUCUUGCUUUUCUGAUGUUAGCCGCGGACGGGUGAGUAACACGUGUAUAACCUACCUAUAAGACUGGGAUAACUUCGGGAAACCGGCGCUAAUACCGUAUAAUAUUUUGAACCGCAUGGUUCAAAAGUGAAAGACGGUCUUGCUGUCACUUAUAGAUGGAUCCGCGCUGCAUUAGCUAGUUGGUAAGGUAACGGAUUACCAAGGCAACGAUGCAUAGCCGACCUGCGAGGGUGAUCGGCCACACUGGAAGGGAGACACGGCCCAGAGUCCCACGGGAGGGACCCGUAGGGAAUCUUCCGCAAUGGGCGAAAACCUGACGGAGCAGCGCCGAGUGAGUGAUGAAGGUCUUCGGAUGGUAAAACACUGUUAUUAGGGAAGAAAACACUUUUAAGUAACUGUGAACAUCUUGACGGUAACUAAUCAGAGAGGCACGGCUAACUAAGGG